rnacentral:rRNA from 1 species
GUGGGGAAUUUUGGACAAUGGGCGCAAGCCUGAUCCAGCCAUUCCGCGUGCAGGAUGAAGGCCUUCGGGUUGUAAACUGCUUUUGUACGGAACGAAAAGCCUCUGGUUAAUACCCGGGGGUCAUGACGGUACCGUAAGAAUAAGCACCGGCUAACUACGUGCCAGCAGCCGCGGUAAUACGUAGGGUGCGAGCGUUAAUCGGAAUUACUGGGCGUAAAGCGUGCGCAGGCGGUGAUGUAAGACAGGUGUGAAAUCCCCGGGCUCAACCUGGUAACUGCAUCUGUGACUGCAUUACUUGAGUGCGGCAGAGGGGGAUGGAAUUCCGCGUGUAGCAGUGAAAUGCGUAGAUAUGCGGAGGAACACCGAUGGCGAAGGCAAUCCCCUGGGCCUGCACUGACGCUCAUGCACGAAAGCGUGGGGAGCAAACAGGAUUAGAAACCCUGGUAGUCC